AGUGUGUGUGUGUGUGUGAGUGUCUUUCUUUUUUCUCUACGUUCGCUUAGCAUAGGGUUUUCUAUUCAAGGUUCAAAUCACUGGCACUAUUCUCAGCAACCAACCAACAUAGAAAACCAGUCUAAGUAUAGCAACAAAAUGAAAGCCAUCCAUUUUGCAUAGCCCAACGGAAGUGGGUUGCGAGGAAAUGACUGGAAAGAGUUUGAAGGAACUUUAACUGCCCCCUGAGACAAUGCUAACGCUGAAAAGGGCAACCCACAAAAGGUUAGAGGUCAUCAUGACAUGGCUUGCGAGACCGACAAACAAAAAGAUGGUAAAUC